GAUGAACGCUGACAGCAUGCUUAACACAUGCAAGUCAACUUGAACUUCGGUUUGGGUGGCGGACGGGUGAGUAACGCGUAAAGAACUUGCCUCACAGAUAGGGACAACAUUUGGAAACGAAUGCUAAUACCUGAUAUUAUGAUUAUAAGGCAUCGUAUAAUUAUGAAAGCUAUAUGCGCUGUGAGAGAGCUUUGCGUCCCAUUAGCCAGUUGGAGAGGUAACGGCUCACCAAGGCGAUGAUGGGUAGCCGGCCUGAGAGGGUGAUCGGCCACAAGGGGACUGAGACACGGCCCUUACUCCUACGGGAGGCAGCAGUGGGGAAUAUUGGACAAUGGACCAAGAGUCUGAUCCAGCAAUUCUGUGUGCACGAUGAAGUUUUUCGGAAUGUAAAGUGCUUUCAGUUGGGAAGAAAAAAAUGACGGUACCAACAGAAGAAGUGACGGCUAAAUACGUG
rnacentral:rRNA from 1 species